GACGAACGCUGGCGGCGUGCUUAACACAUGCAAGUCGAACGGAAAGGCCCUGCUUUUGUGGGGUGCUCGAGUGGCGAACGGGUGAGUAACACGUGAGUAACCUGCCCUUGACUUUGGGAUAACUUCAGGAAACUGGGGCUAAUACCGGAUAGGAGCUCCUGCUGCAUGGUGGGGGUUGGAAAGUUUCGGCGGUUGGGGAUGGACUCGCGGCUUAUCAGCUUGUUGGUGGGGUAGUGUCUUACCAAGGCUUUGACGGGUAGCCGGCCUGAGAGGGUGACCGGCCACAUUGGGGCUGAGAUACGGCCCAGACUCCUACGGGAGGCAGCAGUGGGGAAUAUUGCACAAUGGGCGGAAGCCUGAUGCAGCAACGCCGCGUGCGGGAUGACGGCCUUCGGGUUGUAAACCGCUUUCGCCUGUGACGAAGCGUGAGUGACGGUAAUGGGUAAAGAAGCACCGGCUAACUACGUG
rnacentral:rRNA from 1 species